rnacentral:rRNA from 1 species
CUACGGGUGGCUGCAGUGGGGAAUAUUGCGCAAUGGAGGAAACUCUGACGCAGCAACGCCGCGUGGAGGAUGACGCAUUUCGAUGUGUAAACUCCUUUUAUACAAGAAGAUAAUGACGGUAUUGUAUGAAUAAGCACCGGCUAACUCCGUGCCAGCAGCCGCGGUAAUACGGGGGGUGCAAGCGUUACUCGGAAUCACUGGGCGUAAAGGAUGCGUAGGCGGAUUAACAAGUCUUGUGUGAAAUCCUAUGGCUUAACCAUAGAACUGCAUGGGAAACUGUUAGUCUAGAGUUCGGAAGAGGCAGAUGGAAUUAGUGGUGUAGGGGUAAAAUCCGUAGAUAUCACUAGGAAUACCGAUGGCGAAGGCGAUCUGCUGGGACGACACUGACGCUGAGGCAUGAAAGCGUGGGGAGCAAACAGGAUUAGAUACCCCCGUAGUC